CUGUGUGGUCAUUAAAGUCCCUUCCAAUCCAAACCAUUCUGUGAUUCUUUGAUUUUAUGAAUAACAGAAGGACAAUGGCCAAAUUGAAAAGAAUCCCUACAAGAUUUUAAUCUGAGAUACCAUUGGCUUGGCUUUCAGAGAUGCCAACCACUUCUUUCUCCUUUUGCUUUGAGUUUGAGCCACAGUAGCACAUUCUUGUUUACAGUGAGGUCUCAAAUUAUAGAAAAAAAAGGUUCAUUUCUCAUAAGUGGUGCCCCCACAUUUCAGUGGACGUUUUAUGAGUGUGAUGAGCCUAAAUCAAGGCAGUGUGGAUUAAGCUCCCCCUCUAAUUUUUCAGCUCACUAUUGAAGGGUAUUUGUUAACAUAAAACUCAGUUACAGCCUGUACACCAUUGUCUUUUAUUAAAAUUAAUUUGAAGUCCUUAUCCAUUAUCUUGGCAUUCUGCAGAACGUAUGAUUAUGUCCCAAAGUAUGGUUGAGCAAGUUUCCUUAUGUGGGUGACAACAUCUGACCCUCUUCUGUAGUAGCACGGACUCAAUGCAAGUGCUAAAAAGUCACCUCAUCCAUUCUGAAUGCCUGCCAGUGGAAAUUGGGAGCACAAGACGCUGAGACUGUGCUGGAAGGAAAUGAUCUCUGAAGUGAGGGGAGAUGGACUGCUAAUUCCAACAACAAACUUACACCUGCUGUCAAGAAUGAUUAUGGAUCAGAGGGGCCACCAGUGAAGAUGCAUGAUGACCUCUUGGAAGGCUUUGCAUGCCUACAAGGCAUCAUGGCAUAGUCAACCUUGUCUCUAAAUGAGUGCUUGUGCACUCUAGCUGCAUGAGGCGGCCCAAACACCCCCACAGAACCCCCCGGACCUCCUGAGACUUCCUGUUGAAGCCCGAGUCUGCAGGUGCAAAUUCGCUGGGUUACAGUCAGCGACAGCAUGAGCUCUGGGUAAGUGCCCUCCCUCGCGUUCAUAAGUGGUCUUUGAAACUGAGAUGUCAGACAAGCAGGUGAAGACAUACUUCGGUUUUAUUGUUGUUUAGGCAUGGAUAGAAACAUUAAUUUUUUUGCUCUCUUGGUUCUUGAAACGUGCCUAUAGUGAACAUGGAGCAGUGAAAAACCGGCUCCCAGGACUGACGUUUUAAAGUGCAUAGGAGAUCUAGCAGAAUCCCAAAAGAUGAGAAGGUGUUUUAAUUCCUUUCUCAUAGCUGUGGAAGUCGAAGGACUUUUUCUUCUCUUCUUCCCCCACGUUCCCAAGACAGUGGUAUGACCAUUUUCAACCCUUCCCUAUGCUUUCCCUGAUGAUCUUUGGAGGUUUCUUCUCUGUGUUUAAGAACGAUUGUAGUGUUAUAAACAAAGACAGUUGAUUUUUGCAUACUCCUUCACCACAUUCUGUUACAGCUUUUCCUGUUUAGAGUCAUGCCCACUGCAUCUUUUUUAAAAAAUGUGUAUCACUUGGCAGUGUUCUCGCACCAAAAGAAAAAGAUAUAUUUGUAUAUAAAGUAACUUUUUUGUGUGUUCACGUUUUAUUUUGGAAAAACAGGUGUUUAAAAAUUUUAGAAUUUUUUUAACAAAAUUCUAAAAAAAAAAAA